rnacentral:tRNA from 1 species
UCCAGCAUGGUGUAGUGGUUUGAACAUUGGACUGUAGCUCUGGAGACCAGGGUUCAAAUCCCUGCUCAGCUG